CCUCAAAUCAGGUAGGACUACCCGCUGAAC
rnacentral:rRNA from 1 species